UACGUAGGGUGCGAGCGUUGUCCGGAAUUAUUGGGCGUAAAGAGCUCGUGGGCGGUGUGUCACGUCGGCCGUGAAAACCUGCAGCUUAACUGUGGGCGUGCGGUCGAUACGGGCAUCACUGGAGUUCGGCAGGGGAGACUGGAAUUCCUGGUGUAGCGGUGAAAUGCGCAGAUAUCAGGAGGAACACCGGUGGCGAAGGCGGGUCUCUGGGCCGAUACUGACGCUGAGGAGCGAAAGCGUGGGGAGCAAACAGG
rnacentral:rRNA from 1 species